rnacentral:rRNA from 1 species
UACGUAGGGGGCAAGCGUUGUCCGGAUUUACUGGGCGUAAAGGGCGUGCAGGCGGCUUGUUAAGUGCAGGGUGAAAGCUCCCGGCUCAACUGGGAGAGGUCCUUGCAUACUGGCGAGCUCGAGGGAGGCAGAGGAAAGUGGAAUUCCCGGUGUAGUGGUGAUAUGCGUAGAUAUCGGGAGGAACACCUGUGGCGAAGGCGGCUUUCUGGGCCUUACCUGACGCUGAGACGCGAAAGCGUGGGGAGCAAACAGG